rnacentral:lncRNA from 1 species
ACCUCAUUGGCUUUGGAGUUUCAUCAACUUCUCAGCAUGUUUCCUCUCCUCAUCACCUAGGAGUUUCAGUGCUCUGGAAGAGUUUGAGAAAUGAUGGAAGAAGUGUGGAACAACACGUAGGUCUGGCUGCCAGUUUCCUUCACCAACAUUCAUAAAUUUGAGGUGCACAGAGAAACUUGGAUUUAUGAUGAGAAGAUUCUGCAAGUUAUAGUUGCAAUAAUCUCUGGCGCAGUUUAAAGAAAGAGAAGCAUGGAUAAAAUUAAAUUGCUCAGAUAAUUGAAAAAAGAAAGAAAUUUGCAAAUUAUACCAUUUCCUUGGAUGCUGCAGUAAAAUAGAGAUACUAUAAUGAGACUCACCACAGGGGGCAGUGGUGAAAGAUAGCCUAUUGACGACUAGAGCACAUUC